UCAAAGAAAAAUUGUUGAUGGAAGCUUCCUUAAGUAGUAUCCAUUAAAGGGUUGUUCUCAACAUGCAAAUCAACCUUUUGAUGUACUACUUUAAGAAUCUCCAGUUAAAGUCAACACAUAAGUA
rnacentral:precursor_RNA from 15 species